rnacentral:rRNA from 1 species
UAAACUAAUAUAUAUAAUAUUGGUAUACACUUUAAUUAUAAAAGAGGUAUAUAGGAUGUCUCUACUUUACCUUUUGCAUAAUGGGUUAACAAAUAGUAAAUGUAUAAACAUACGCGAAGGGUAGCGAGUUAAUUAAUUAAAUAUUUUAGUAGUACUUCACUAUAUGUUGCAUUAUAUAGCUAUUAUGAUUAAUUAGGAGUGAUAGGCCUAACAAGCUAUCCUAUAUCUUGAUUUUAAGGAAAACUAUUAAGUAGUCAGUCAACCUUGAAGUGGUGAGGUUUCAAGGAAGUACUAACAAAAUUAUGCUAUAUGUAACUUAUUUAACGAUAAUUACUUAAAACAUAUUAAUAUAAAGUAUUAGGGUGUUGUAUAUUGUACUUAAAUAUAUUUCGGGAUGCUUGUUAUAUAAAUACUGUUAACAUUAGUAAUAUUAAAAGAUUGUGGAAGGAACUCGGCAAAACGUUUCUCAACUGUUUAUCAAAAACAUAGCUAAAUGUGAACAUAUUUAGUUACGUCUGCUCAAUGAUUAAUUUAAAUAGCCGCAGUACCUUGACUGUGCUAAGGUAGCAUAAUCAUUUGGCUUAUAAUUGAAGUCUGGCAUGAAGGAAUUUAUGGGUAACAACUGUCUCCUAUAACUGUAAUGAACUUGCUAAAUAAGUGAAAAUACUUAUGUAACCAUAAUAGACGAGAAGACCCUAGAAAUUUUUAACAAUAAGUUCUUUAAAUUUUAGUAUUUUGUUGGGGCGACAGAAUAACAAAUAACUUAUUUUAUGAGUUAGAAUUAUAUUGUAAGGUAAAAUAAAUUACUCUAGGGAUAACAGCAUAAUAUAUUAAAGUUUGUGACCUCGAUGUUGGACUAGGACCCUUAACAACCAGAAGUUUUUAAGUUAAGCUCUGUUCGAGCUGUAUUUCCUACAUGAUCUGAGUUCAGACCGGCGUAAGCCAGGUCAGUUUCUAUCUUUUAAGUUUGAUUUUAUAGUACGAAAGGAACAUAAAUCAUAUAUUGUGUAUAU